UCCUAUGUAAACACUUUUCUUAGAGUUGUAAGGCACUUAAAUGACUUUUUAUGUAACCUCCUCUAGCAAUCUUAAUAUCAGGGUUUUCGUCCACAGAACAGCGUCCUUUGCGAAGGGGCAAAGCGUCCUCAUCUAGCCUUGCUCCUGACUGGCAGCAGCUUGCCUGGCACCCACCCCUGCCUAGGUGCGCGUUUGAUAAAUGUCUUGCCGGCGGCGACGUUCAGUUGCCAUUCUCCACCACGCCGUGCACCUGCUCAGCAUCUCGCAGUCUCCACGGCCAGUCCCCGAGCCCAGGACCCCUCCCUCGCCGCACGGCCCCCUCCGUUCAUCCCGCCCGGGCCCUGGCGGAAACUGCCCGACCCCAGGCGGGAGCGGCGGGGCGGGCGGGGAAAGUGCUCGUAAUCACAUGGAGGCCCGGGCCCGCCCCAUUGGCUGCGGCCGGGCCAGUCGCAGCGCUCGCAGGCUGCGGUUGGUCCCGGAGCUGCAGCGCCUGCUCGGGCCCGGAGUCCAUGUUACGCUUUGUCUAAUUCCCCUCGUUACAGAGUCAUGUGCUGCUGCUCCAGUCGCCGUCGCUGCCGCCGCCCGUGGUGCCCCGGCUCCUCCGCCGCGCUUCGAGGUGGCCGCCGCGGGCGGGGCCGCGGGAGCAGGGUCCAGGGCGCCGCGCACCCCCGCCGCCCCGGCGCGUCCCGGAGCAGCCGCCGCCUGCCGCAGGUGAUGCCUCCGCCUCCCGCCUCCGCCUAAGCCGUGGCUCGGCGGCCGAGCUGCCCCAAAGGAAGUGCACGGCCGGGGUCCCAGGAUGGAGGAGUGAAGUCUCGCGCCGCGGUCCCAGCCUCCGGAGCCCGCCCGAAGCCCAGUCCCCGAGAGCGCCCUGACGGAGCAGGGUGGCCGCCGGGUCCAGGACUCUGACAACAGCUGUAAAAUCACCAUCACUACCACCAGUCUUAUAUUGUUUCCUAGGAGCUGAAAGAGGCUUUCCAUUCAACCUUUACAGUUGUGAACCAGGGAUUAAACUCAGGACCUUCAACUUGCCAGGCAGGUGCGGUACCACUGAGCUACAUCCCCAGCCCAGAGUCUCUUUUUCUUGAGAGAAGUUCCUUGAAAGCAUUUGGUACAUUCCUUAUAGAUUCUGAAAUUAAUCCUUUGUUUUCUUUAGAUAUCAUGAAUACUUCUUUUGAUUACAUCACUUCUCUGAUAACUGUGAGGGCUUUUAGUAACAGC
rnacentral:lncRNA from 1 species